rnacentral:lncRNA from 1 species
ACUCCGGUUUUGGUGGCACCGGCGAAUGGAGCCCAGGCCAACCUGGAAGCCGGGAAUGGCCGAAUACUCUAGGCUAGAUCUUUAUCUUGAUUGUAAAGACAGUGUUUCCUGAGCAGCUGGAGGU